rnacentral:misc_RNA from 1 species
AAUUCUCUCAACCACACAAUAUGUUGUUGUGGCUUGGAUAUGGAGGUGUGCAGGCUUUUUUCAAGUUGAGCUCCUCUGAAAUAUAUAAGUAGUGGUCAGAGAAACUACAGAUGUGAUAAAUUAUCUACAUCUUAGUGUAUGCACUGCUUCCAACCAAUCCCCCCUUUUUUGACAU